CCUACGGGUGGCAGCAGUAGGGAAUUUUCGUCAAUGGGCGCAAGCCUGAACGAGCAAUGCCGCGUGAACGAGGAAGGUCUUCGGAUCGUAAAGUUCUGUUGAAGGGGAAAAAGAGCGGAGAGAGGAAAUGGUCUCCGAUUGAUAUUACCCUUCGAGGAAGUCACGGCUAACUACGUGACAGCAGCCGCGGUAAUACGUAGGUGGCGAGCGUUAUCCGUAAUGAUUGGGCGUCAAGGGUGCGUAGGCGGCCUGCUAAGUCUGGAGUGAAAGGUACCGGCUCAACCGGUACAGGCUCCGGAAACUGGCGGGCUAGAGAGCAGGAGAGGGCGGUGGAACUCCAUGUGUAGCGGUAAAAUGCGUAGAUAUAUGGAAGAACACCAGUGGCGAAGGCGGCCGCCUGGCCUGUUACUGACGCUGAGGCACGAAAGCGUGGGGAGCAAAUAGGAUUAGAUACCCCAGUAGUC
rnacentral:rRNA from 1 species